rnacentral:rRNA from 1 species
AACGAACGCUGGCGGCAUGCCUAACACAUGCAAGUCGAACGAGACCUCCGGGCCUAGGGGCGCACGGGGGCGUAAGACGGGGGAACCAGCACGUAGGUUCGGAAUAACUGCCCGAAAGGGGAGCUAAUACCGGUGAAUGUCAUCGGACCAAAGACUUAUCGCCUUUGGGUGGGCGCGGGUUGGAUUGGCCGGUUGGUAGGGGAAAAGCCUACCAAGGCGACGAUCCAUAGCUGGUCGGGUAGGAUGCCCCGCAACACUUGGACUGAGACCCGGCCCAGUCUCCUACGGGAGGGAGCAGUGGGGAAUAUUGGGCACUGGGCGAAAGCCUGAUCCAGCCGUGCCGCGUGAGUGAUCAAGGCGUUAGGGUUGUAAAGCUCUUUUUCCCGGGAUGAUAAUGACAGUACCGGGUGAAGAAGCACCGGCUAACUCCGUG